rnacentral:rRNA from 1 species
GAUGAACGCGGGCGGCGCGCCUAACACAUGCAAGUCGAACGGUUAAAGCACCUUUUAGGUGUGUAUAAAGUGGCGAACGGCUGAGUAACACGUGGGCAACCUGCCCUCCUCUUGGGGAUAGCCUCGGGAAACCGAGGAUAAUACCCGAUACUUCAAUGUGGCCGCAUGACGACAUUGAGAAAGCUUUUGCGGAGAAGGAUGGGCCCGCGGCCUGUUAGCUUGUUGGUGGGGUAGAGGCCUACCAAGGCAAUGAUGGGUAGCUGGGUUGAGAGACCGACCAGCCAGAUUGGGACUGAGACACGGCCCAGACUCCUACGGGAGGCAGCAGUGGGGAAUCUUGCACAAUGGGCGAAAGCCUGAUGCAGCGACGCCGCGUGCGGGACGAAGGCCUUCGGGUUGUAAACCGCUUUCAGCAGGGACGAGGCGAUAAGUGACGGUACCUGCAGAAGAAGCCCCGGCUAACUACGUGCCAGCAGCCGCGGUAAUACGUAGGGGGCAAGCGUUAUCCGGAUUCAUUGGGCGUAAAGCGCUCGUAGGCGGUCUGUUAGGUCGGGAGUUAAAUCCGGAGGCUCAACCUCCGCCCGCUCCCGAUACCGGCAGACUUGAGUUUGGUAGGGGAAGGUGGAAUUCCUAGUGUAGCGGUGGAAUGCGCAGAUAUUAGGAAGAACACCAGUGGCGAAGGCGGCCUUCUGGGCCAUAACUGACGCUGAGGAGCGAAAGCUAGGGGAGCAAACAGG